rnacentral:lncRNA from 1 species
AUGAGGUGUCAGGCGGCAUUCUUGUGACAGACGGUGCCUUAUUUACCUCCUGAUUACCUCAGGUUUUCUGGCUAGUUUGCCUCCUCAGACUUUGCUUCAACCGGACGGGUGACGACUGGAAAGCCCUAGUUCAGGCUUUUAAUUUCUAAUAUGUGACGUGCACAUUUCAGUCAGAUUAUGAGAGAGUGGCACUUAUAUGAUGACCCUGAAGGGACAGAAGUCUCUUGUCUGCCUGGAUGGAGACAAACUCAUUCACACACAGAAAUGGGACGGCAAGGAAACAAAAUUUGUGAGAGAAAUUAAGGAUGGCAAAAUGGUCCUGGUAAGUGACAAGUGACUACGCUUUAUUUUCUAUUUCUACUCUCUCUUCCUCCCUCUUCUCUCCUUCCCUCCCUCCUUCUUUUCUCUCCCCUUCCUCUCUCCUUGCUUUUCCUUUAGAAUAAUACUGUCGGGCCGGGGAUUUAGCUCAGUGGUUCCAUCACCUGCCUUGCAAGUGCAAGGACCUGAGUUUGAUCGCCGGUACCAAAACAAAAAACAACAACAAAAAAACCCAAACUAGAAUAAUACUGUCACUAGCAAGGUUCUUUAACAAUAUAUCAAUAGGAGAAACAAAAAGACCCAGCUGAUUGUUUUCUUAGCUGAGGCUCUGUGAUUAUAGAAAAAAGCCUAUUUGGCAUAGUUUUUUGUUUUUUAAGUGUACCAUUGGCUUACCCAAAACUGCAUGUGAAAGCAAUUUUUGCAUUACUAUGAAUACCUAACCUUCAAGUGAAAUUUAGAGGCAAAAGCAAUAACCACAAAAUAUAUAAAGAAGAUUGUCCUAGUUACUUUUUUCAUUGAUGAAACAAAAUACCCGACACCCACAAGUUAAGGGAGAAAAUUUGUAUUUGGUUUGCAGUUUGUAGAGGAUUUAGUCUGUAGUCCGCUGGCAGGAUGGCACACGAGGGGCACCACAGAGGAGACACAGCUCACUGCAGGCAAAGACAGAGAAAGCAAUGAGGGACCGCCACAGCUCCUUCUGCCUCUUAUACUUUAUCUAGGCUCCUUAGGGCGGGCGGUGCUCACAUCCUUAAUCCUAGUGCCCUCGAGCCUAGUACUACUGCACCA